ensembl:lncRNA STK4-DT STK4 divergent transcript
CUCUCCACUCAGAGCUCCGGCUUCAGCUAUUGUGCUUCCGAAUGCCACUACCAUCAGAUAUGCCAUCUACAGAACUUAACACCUGAGCACCCACCCUUCAGGGCAAUAUGGUGAAACCCCUUUUCUACAAAAAACUUAGCCAAGCAUGGCAUAUUUGUGUAAUGCCAUUUGCAUGACCCACAUGGUCACCCUGGACCCCGUGGAUCAGGCCCUGCCUGGUGCCACCACCGCCACUUCUGUGCCAGGCCCCCAGUGUGAUGCAAGUUGCAUGAUGCUCUUUGCUGUAGUGCCUUUUAAUGGCAUAGCUUUGGCAGGUUUGGAGAUGUUCAGAAUAGGCAAAUCCUGUGGUGGAUUUGUGGUUGUCUAAGGCCCUGGUGGAAGGGAGCAUAGGUGAAUUGGAGGGGAUGAUUAAAAGGUGUGAGAUUUCAUUUUGGGGUGAUGAAAAUGUUCUAAAAUUGGUUGUAGUAAUGGUUAUACAACUCUGAAUAUACUAAAAGGCAUUGAAUUGUACACUUUCAAUAUGUGAGUUAUAUCUCAAUAAAGCUAUUUUACA